AACGAACGCUGGCGGCAUGCCUAACACAUGCAAGUCGAACGAGACCUUCGGGUCUAGUGGCGCACGGGUGCGUAACGCGUGGGAACCUGCCCUUAGGUUCGGAAUAACUCCCCGAAAGGGGUGCUAAUACCGGAUAAUGUCUUCGGACCAAAGAUUUAUCGCCUUUGGAUGGGCCCGCGUUGGAUUAGCUAGUUGGUAGGGUAAAAGCCUACCAAGGCGACGAUCCAUAGCUGGUCUGUGAGGAUGAUCAGCCACACUGGGACUGAGACACGGCCCAGACUCCUACGGGAGGGAGCAGUGGGGAAUAUUGGACAAUGGGCGAAAGCCUGAUCCAGCAAUGCCGCGUGAGUGAUGAAGGCCUUAGGGUUGUAAAGCUCUUUUACCCGGGAUGAUAAUGACAGUACCGGGAGAAUAAGCUCCGGCUAACUCCGUG
rnacentral:rRNA from 1 species